CACCCCUGUCUUGACAGCGAACAUAAAAAGGACAUGUACACCGUCCGUUUAUAACGACACAGCUACUUAGCUAGCUAAUUAGCUAGCUCACAGGACCCGGGGCUCAAUUGUCCGGAUAAAUCAUUGACAUUCAAUGGUUUAAUUUAUCACAAACUACAGCAUUUAUGUAGUUAUUUGAUCAUUUAAAUGGCGUUCAAUGGCCACCAACGCGACGAUGAAGGUAUCGACGAAGACGAAACGCCCACGAAGCAGCCGCGGUCCGACAAGGAGAAGCCCAGCGAUGAGGCGUCUGCGUCCGCGGGAAGAGCCGCGUCUGACCGGCGGACCUCCAACUCGACGGCGAGGCUUCGGAGUGACUCGGUGAAGAAGACAAGGCCGCCUUUUCCCUGGUUCGGGAUGGACAUCGGAGGCACUCUUGUGAAGCUGGUGUACUUCGAGCCCAAAGACAUCACAGCAGAGGAGGAGCAGGAAGAGGUGGAGAACCUGAAGAGCAUCCGGCGCUACCUCACCUCCAACAUCGCCUACGGGAAAACGGGCAUCAGGGACGUGCACCUGGAGCUGCCCGACCUGACGCUGUGCGGCAGGACGGGCAACCUGCACUUCAUUCGCUUCCCCACGCACGACCUCCCGGUCUUCCUGCAGAUGGUUCGCAACAAGCACUUCUCCAGCCUGCACACCGCGCUCUGCGCCACGGGGGGAGGGGCGUACAAGUUUGAGUCUGAUUUCCGCAAGAUGGCGGACCUGCAGCUCCAUAAGCUGGAUGAGUUGGACUGCUUGAUUCGGGGAGUGCUGUACAUCGACUCGGUGGUGUCCAGCGGCCCCUCUGAGUGCUACUACUUUGAAAACCCCACUGAUCCGGAUCUCUGUGCCCAGAAGCCUUACACACUGGAGAACCCCUACCCUCUGCUGCUGGUCAACAUAGGGUCUGGGGUCAGCAUCCUGGCUGUCUACUCAGAGAACAACUACAAACGAGUGACAGGGACCAGCCUCGGCGGUGGGACCUUCCUGGGCCUGUGUUGCCUGCUGACCGGCUGCUCUACUUUCGAGGAAGCUCUAGAAAUGGCUUCUCAGGGGGAGAGCACCCGCGUGGACAAGCUGGUCCGGGACAUCUACGGAGGAGACUAUGAGAGGUUUGGGCUGCCAGGCUGGGCUGUAGCCUCAAGGUGCGGUUUACAGCAGCUUCUCUUUUCCCCCUGCACUGUAGGACAGUCACAGAAUGUAAACAGCAAUUUUUGGCAACAUGAUGUCCAGAGAGAAGAGGGAGUCGGUGUCCAAAGAGGACCUGGCCAGGGCGACACUGGUCACCAUCACCAACAACAUCGGCUCCAUCACCAGAAUGUGUGCCCUCAAUGAGAACAUCGAGAGAGUUGUGUUUGUGGGAAACUUCCUGAGAGUGAACACCCUCUCCAUGAAGCUGCUGGCCUACGCCAUGGACUACUGGUCGAAGGGACAGCUGAAGGCGCUCUUUCUACAGCACGAGGGCUACUUCGGAGCGGUCGGAGCCUUGUUGGAGCUUCUGCAUCCGUCCUAAUCCGUCCCAAUCACAUCCAAAGAAGUACUCGUCAAGCUGCUGCAAAGACCAAAAGCACUUUAGACUGUUGAGAAUUAAUUCCAUGCAUGCCACCAGUUGGUUACUGAUACAUUUUGGAUGAAGCAGGCAAACAUUUCGAUGUCCUAUAAUCAAAGAGGUUUAUGAAAGGUGUUUCUAAAUGUUGAUGCACAUCAGAGUGUUGUCUGAGUCCUGCUCAAUCAAACUUUAAAGCAGAUAAAUUGACUCUGGAUGUUGCAGAAUCCGUCCACGUUUGGUCUGAAACACCUCGAACCAUGUCACCGCGUUUGCCUGAAAUACUUCAAAGUCAGUCAUUCAGGUCUUCACCUAGUUUGUCUUCUGGACCCUCUGUGGGUAUAAGGUCCGCGUCCAAAUAUUUCCUCGUAUUUUUAUGGUUAUUUCUCCGCUUAGGCUCCAGAUGGAUGGGAGUUGAUAUGAAAAUGAGGAGUUACGACUUAAAGAUGAUCACAAGAGACACAGAUAUGUUGUUAAUGAAUCUUUUUAUCCAUGAAACGUUGCACAUUCAUAGUUUCCAGAACCAAAGAAGAAUCAUUUAAAAAUCCAUCCUGUACUCUUGUAGUAAAAACACUGAGAUUCAUUUAAAACCACUUCAGUCCCCGUGUCUGCCUGGCGUUCGUUCUGGGUAGGAAACGCGGGCUGUGGCUUGUAUGAAGCGUCCGUCCUGUCUCCAUGACAACAGUCUGUUGACAACGGUAGCUGUAUGACCCGACACUGCUUCGUUACUUUUUACUGCAUGUUUUUUAUUUGAGAUCGUUUAUUUCCCGACGAGUCACACGGAGCGAGGAGGAUGGGGUGCAAGACACAAUCUGUGGGCGUCAAAAGUAUGAGGAAUAUCAUAUAUAUGGAAAAGAGCACCUUUCUGAAAAGUGUAACGAUUUCAACUCAGAGCUUGGUAAAAAAAAAGACUCUGCCUCGUCAAACAAUCUCUAAAGUGAAACCUUAAUUUAUGAAACAUGCACAAGAGGUCACUAUUUCAUAGACUUGUUCUUAAACAGAGAGUUCGGGUUUAUAAACCUGGUUGUUUUCGCCAAGCUUUUAUUUUGUGAUUUAUUUAACGGUUUUGGGGCGCACUCGGCAAUCUGUAUCGUUUCUAAGCAUGUUUGACCCCCCAGAGUCCACGUCGUUUGACUAGAAUUUCCUCCUGGGAUUAAUAAAAUAGUUCUGAUUCUGAUCAGUGUGAGAGCUCUGAUCUGUGUUCAAGCAUGUUACACUUUGGGGGAUGGUGGGGGGGGACAGUCCUGCUUCAACACAGAACAGAGCAGCUUGGCCUAGUGUGAGUGAGCCCUUAGUAUCAGGAAGUCUGGACAAGUCAGGGUUACUGGGACUGUUCUGUCAAGUUAAAGCGGUACAUUUGAGCUUCCACAUCCGCCCUGCUAAAGUGCCCUCGAGCAGCUGCAUCACUUUGCAUCACAAGUCGAGUGAAAACAAACAGAGCAACAAUGUGAGGCGUCCAAAUCAAGUUAAAUAUCAGGGCAUUAUAUCUCUGACUGUUUUUCAUAUUCAGGAAAUGUUUUAUCCAGAAGCUUGCUGCAUCCCUCCAGCGGAGAUUUAAAGCCCCAUAUCUCGAAGCCAUGCCCGUCUUCAUCAGAAUGUUCAGUUUGUACCGAAAUGUGAAUGUUUUGAAUUGAAUGUGCAUCGUUGUCAGUCCCUGAAGCUUUGUGGUUUGUUAUUUGAUUGGGGUCAGAGAUGAUAUUUUCUCUGUUAUGUCAGUUAAUGCAAAUCCUCCCCAUUUUACUGUGACCCUCGGGACACCUCGGGAUCCCCCAGGAGGAGCUAGAAAACACUGCUGGGGAGAGGGACUGUGGCAACUUGCUUAGCCUGCGACCUGACCCCGGAUUAGCAGCAGAUAAUAGAUGAGUGUUUGUUCAGUUUUUGGUCCAACGAGAGAAUAAGGGACCAGAAUGAAUGAUGAACUACUGAAUAUAUUUGACUCCCAACACGGUUGGAAAUUCAUCGUACACGUUUAACUGUGGAUCUCUAGAGAGGAUUUAGUGAACGAGUAAAUAAGUGCCUGUCAUGUUUUUGUAUAAAAUACAUGAAUGUGUUCAGCAAUGUGAUUUAAAACAGAAUCUGUCAUUUGAAAAGUUUGCUUUGUUUUCUGUCUUCUGCAAAGACGACUUUGUACCUGUUUUUGUAACAGUGAUUACAGAUUUUUCUAAUUGCAUUUUCUCUGUUAAAUACAAACCUUCCAUAUUUCUACGACGA